rnacentral:misc_RNA from 1 species
GAAAUGCGAUAAGUAAUGUGAAUUGCAGAAUUCAGUGAAUCAUCGAAUCUUUGAACGCACAUUGCGCCCGCCAGUAUUCUGGCGGGCAUGCCUGUUCGAGCGUCAUUUCAACCAUCAAGCCCCCGGCUUGUGUUGGGGACCUGCGGCUGCCCGCAGGCCCUUAAAAACAGUGGCGGGCUCGCUGUCACACCGAGCGUAGUAGCAUACAUUCUCGCUCAGGGCGUGCUGCGGGUUCCGGCCGUUAAACGACCUUCAUAACCCAAGGUUGACCUCGGAUCAGGUAGGAAGACCCGCUGAACUUAAGC